rnacentral:ncRNA from 1 species
UAAAAAGAUUUCAGAAUCAGGCCGGGAUAUUCCAUCAUCCUGUCUACUCGGUCGUACAUCAAGCCGGUUGCCUGAUUCCUUGCAUUGAAGCGAUGUACGGAGUUUAUAGAGC